rnacentral:rRNA from 1 species
GUUGUAUGGUUAAGUGACUAAGCGUACACGGUGGAUGCCUGGGCAGUCAGAGGCGAUGAAGGACGUACUAACUUGCGAUAAGCGCAGAUAAGGCAGUAAGAGCCGUUUGAGUCUGCGAUUUCCGAAUGGGGAAACCCAACUGCAUAAGCAGUUACUGUUAACUGAAUACAUAGGUUAACAGAGCAAACCGGGGGAACUGAAACAUCUAAGUACCCCGAGGAGAAGAAAUCAACCGAGAUUCCGGUAGUAGCGGCGAGCGAACCUGGAUUAGCCCUUAAGCACUCGGUGAAGUAGGUGAACAAGCUGGAAAGCUUGGCGAUACAGGGUGAUAGCCCCGUAACCGACGCUUCAUCGAGCGUGAAAUCGAGUAGGGCGGGACACGUGAUAUCCUGUCUGAAUAUGGGGGGACCAUCCUCCAAGGCUAAAUACUCCUGACUGACCGAUAGUGAACCAGUACCGUGAGGGAAAGGCGAAAAGAACCCCUGUGAGGGGAGUGAAAUAGAACCUGAAACCGUGUACGUACAAGCAGUAGGAGCACCUUCGUGGUGUGACUGCGUACCUUUUGUAUAAUGGGUCAGCGACUUAUAUUCAGUGGCAAGGUUAACCGUAUAGGGGAGCCGUAGCGAAAGCGAGUCUUAACUGGGCGCUCAGUCUCUGGAUAUAGACCCGAAACCGGGUGAUCUAGCCAUGGGCAGGUUGAAGGUUGAGUAACAUCAACUGGAGGACCGAACCGACUAAUGUUGAAAAAUUAGCGGAUGACUUGUGGCUAGGGGUGAAAGGCCAAUCAAACUCGGAGAUAGCUGGUUCUCCCCGAAAGCUAUUUAGGUAGCGCCUCGGACGAAUACUACUGGGGGUAGAGCACUGUUAAGGCUAGGGGGUCAUCCCGACUUACCAACCCUUUGCAAACUCCGAAUACCAGUAAGUACUAUCCGGGAGACACACGGCGGGUGCUAACGUCCGUCGUGGAGAGGGAAACAACCCAGACCGCCAGCUAAGGUCCCAAAGUAUUGCUAAGUGGGAAACGAUGUGGGAAGGCUCAGACAGCUAGGAUGUUGGCUUAGAAGCAGCCAUCAUUUAAAGAAAGCGUAAUAGCUCACUAGUCGAGUCGGCCUGCGCGGAAGAUGUAACGGGGCUAAGCAAUACACCGAAGCUGCGGCAAUAUCUUUUAGAUAUUGGGUAGGGGAGCGUUCUGUAAGCCGUUGAAGGUGAAUCGUAAGGUUUGCUGGAGGUAUCAGAAGUGCGAAUGCUGACAUGAGUAACGACAAAGGGGGUGAAAAACCUCCUCGCCGGAAGACCAAGGGUUCCUGUCCAACGUUAAUCGGGGCAGGGUGAGUCGACCCCUAAGGUGAGGCCGAAAGGCGUAAUCGAUGGGAAACGGGUUAAUAUUCCCGUACUUCUGACUAUUGCGAUGGGGGGACGGAGAAGGCUAGGUGGGCCAGGCGACGGUUGUCCUGGUUCAAGUGCGUAGGCUUGAGAGUUAGGUAAAUCCGGCUCUCUCUAAGGCUGAGACACGACGUCGAGCUACUACGGUAGUGAAGUCAUUGAUGCCAUGCUUCCAGGAAAAGCCUCUAAGCUUCAGAUAGUCAGGAAUCGUACCCCAAACCGACACAGGUGGUCGGGUAGAGAAUACCAAGGCGCUUGAGAGAACUCGGGUGAAGGAACUAGGCAAAAUGGUACCGUAACUUCGGGAGAAGGUACGCUCUUGAUGGUGAAGUCCCUCGCGGAUGGAGCUGACGAGAGUCGCAGAUACCAGGUGGCUGCAACUGUUUAUUAAAAACACAGCACUGUGCAAAAUCGCAAGAUGACGUAUACGGUGUGACGCCUGCCCGGUGCCGGAAGGUUAAUUGAUGGGGUUAGCGUAAGCGAAGCUCUUGAUCGAAGCCCCGGUAAACGGCGGCCGUAACUAUAACGGUCCUAAGGUAGCGAAAUUCCUUGUCGGGUAAGUUCCGACCUGCACGAAUGGCGUAAUGAUGGCCACGCUGUCUCCACCCGAGACUCAGUGAAAUUGAAAUCGCUGUGAAGAUGCAGUGUACCCGCGGCUAGACGGAAAGACCCCGUGAACCUUUACUACAGCUUGGCACUGAACAUUGAACCUACAUGUGUAGGAUAGGUGGGAGGCUAUGAAGACGUGACGCCAGUUGCGUUGGAGCCGUCCUUGAAAUACCACCCUUGUAUGUUUGAUGUUCUAACUUAGACCCAUUAUCUGGGUUGAGGACAGUGCCUGGUGGGUAGUUUGACUGGGGCGGUCUCCUCCCAAAGAGUAACGGAGGAGCACGAAGGUGGGCUAAUCACGGUUGGACAUCGUGAGGUUAGUGCAAUGGCAUAAGCCCGCUUAACUGCGAGAAUGACGGUUCGAGCAGGUGCGAAAGCAGGUCAUAGUGAUCCGGUGGUUCUGUAUGGAAGGGCCAUCGCUCAACGGAUAAAAGGUACUCCGGGGAUAACAGGCUGAUACCGCCCAAGAGUUCAUAUCGACGGCGGUGUUUGGCACCUCGAUGUCGGCUCAUCACAUCCUGGGGCUGAAGUCGGUCCCAAGGGUAUGGCUGUUCGCCAUUUAAAGUGGUACGCGAGCUGGGUUUAGAACGUCGUGAGACAGUUCGGUCCCUAUCUGCCGUGGGCGUUGGAAGAUUGAAGGGGGCUGCUCCUAGUACGAGAGGACCGGAGUGGACGAACCUCUGGUGUUCGGGUUGUGUCGCCAGACGCAUUGCCCGGUAGCUAAGU